AAAUGCGUGAUUUUCACUUCAAUGGGGGAUUUUCCAAGAGAAAAUGCAUGAUUUUCUUUUUAGAUGGGGGAUUUUCAUAGAGAAAAGGCAUGAUUUUUGUGUUAAGUGGGGGAUAUUUGCAAAGAAAAGGCGUGAUUUUCGGGUUAAAUAGGGGAUUUUUGAAGAGAAAAUGUGUGAUUUUCAGUUAAAUCGCGGAAUCUCUAGAGAAAAUGCCUGAUGUUUGCAUUAGAUGUGUGAUUUUCGUAGAGAUAAUGCGUGAUUUUCAGGUUACGUGGGAGAUUUUUGAAGAGAAAAUGCGUGAUUUUCGGGAUAAACCAGGGAUUCUUGAAGAGAAACUGCAUCAUUUUCGUUUACAUGUGAGAUUUUUGUAGAGGAAAUGCGUGAUUUUUGGAUACGUGGGGGAUUCUUGUAGCAAAAAUGUUUGAUGUUGGGGUCAAACGGGGGAUUUUUGAAGAGCAAAAGUGUGAUUUCCGAGUUAAAUGGGGGAUUUUCCUAGAGGAAAUGCGCUGAUUUUGGGGAUAAUGGGGUAUUUUUGAAAAGAGAUAAAGCCAUGAUUUUGGGGUAAAUGCGUAUUUUCCAAGCGAAA
rnacentral:lncRNA from 7 species